UGAGAUCAAGACUGAGAUGUUCCUUGUUUUAAGAAGAAUAAAACUGAACAAUUUGAGAGAAAUUUGAACAACAUUUCAAAGAAUUUAACCAGAGGGAGUCAAUAAGUCAACAUGAUGGACUGUAGGAAGGAGAUUCCAGAAAGACUGGCUUCAACUUCUCAUCAGGAGCUUAUUUGUUGUGAAGAACCUGAGAGGUUAUAUUUUGAGGAGUUCAGGGUUCAAACUGAAAAGUUGAAAAGCACCAAGAGAAGAGAGCUAAGAAGGGAGUGGACCCGAUGGUGUGGAGGAACUGUCUGUGACCAGAAGAUGCCAGUGGUGGAGUUCCUGGGUUCAAGUCCUGCCUGAGACGACCUGGAGAGAAGAUCUAGACCUGCUGCAGAGAGUGGGUGAGGGGGCCGUGUCCCCUCCCCGGAUAAUCAAGAGACCAGCUCAGGUGAAAGGUCAGACUGUCAAACAGGAAGUGAAAGCUUCCACUUCCUUUUAUAGGGCGGAGCCAAGCAGACUCCACUAACAGGGCUGGAUAUCUUUACUGUCCACAGAUCACAUCUCCAGAGUCUGUCUGUCCAUCUGAUCCAUGAAUAAACUGAAGCUGACAUCUGGUGACACCAGAAAUCACAGCUUUGUCAUCAGGAUGGAUGAGAUUUUGCAAUGGAGCACCUGGUCUUCAGACCAGAAUCUGAGGAGAAAACUGUCUCUGAUGUUUCUUUCUCUGAAUGGAGAUAAAUAAAUGUUGACUUUAGUUUUUCAUUUAGUCACCUUCAGAGAAACAUUGCUGAUAAACUGAUGGAGAUGAUCUCAGAGUGUAACGUUUGAAACAUGUUUCAUGAUCAUCUGUGACCUGGUAGAUCAGGUGUUGGUUAGUAUGAACUGCAUGGGCUUCAUCUAAAACCAACUGUGUCAUGGUUUAAACCCAGUAAACUGGAGAAAAGACAGACAGGGAAUGAAACACAGAAUAGAAUAAAAAAGAUUUCAUUUUGACAGAGCUCCAAUGACAACUUUCCUGCAUUGAAAAUACAACAAAUGUUUUAAGACAUAAAACAUUUUUUAUUUCCUUGUUUUCCUUCAAAUGGUUUUAAGAAGCAACAUUCAGCUUUCUGACCCAGUAACUCAUUUUAUUAAGAAUUAAUUAAGAAACCAAACACAUUUAACACGACUAAAACAAGAUGAAUUGCUAAAGGAAAGAACUCAGUGUGUCGUGUGAAUUAUUCAUGAUGUGAUUUUUGAUCAGUUAUUUAGAUUGAAAAUAAAAGCAAAUAAAAGCAGAAGGUUGCAGUAAACAGAUAAAA